CGAUCGACGGUGGGACGAGCUGUUGCAACGAUUAGAUACCGUAGUCAGGGUACGCUGCGACUGUGUUGAGGCCUCGGGGUACUCAGUGCGGAGAGAAGUGCUAAGUCGGCACUUGGGAGUACGUCCGCAAGGAUGAAACUUAAAGGAAUUGGCGGGGAGCACCGCAACGGGAGGAGCGUGCGGUUUAAUUGGAUUCAACACCGGAAAACUCACCAAGGGCGACUGUUACAUGAAAGCCAGGCUAAUGACCUUGCUUGAUUUUCAGAGAGGUGGUGCAUGGCCGUCGUCAGUUCGUACCGUAAGGCGUUCUCUUAAGUGAGAUAACGAACGAGACCCUCACUGAUAAUGGCCGCCGGCGAUCCCCGGAUCGGGCGCACAAUGAUAGGGACCGCUGGCGCUAAGUCAGAAGAAAUUUGGUGUCAACAGUAGGUCAGUAUGCCCCGAAUCUCUUGGGCUACACGCGCGCUACAAAGGGCGGGACAAUGAGAAACUAACGCCGAGAGGCGGAGGCAAUCCCGAAACCCGUCCGUAGUUCGGAUUGAGGGUUGUAACUCACCCUCAUGAAGCUGGAUUCCGUAGUAAUCGCGAAUCAACAACUCGCGAAAGGGAGCCCCUGCUCCUUGCACACACCGUA
rnacentral:rRNA from 1 species